CUGCAUUGCAGGAAAGAAAGAAAGAAAGAAAGAAAGAAAGAAAGAAAGAAAGAAAGGGAUGGGAAAGGGGCACCUGGGUAGCUCAGUCCAUUGAGCAUCUGACUUCAGCUCAGGUCUUGAUCUCGUGGUUCAUGAGUUCAAGCCCUGCAUCAGGCUCUCUGCUGUCAGUGCAGAGCCUGCUUCGGAUUCUCUGUCCCUCUCUCUCUCUGCCCCUCCUCUGCUUGAGUGCUCACUCUCAAAAAUAAAUAAACAUUAAAAAAAAAUGAAAAAUAAUAAAUAAAUAAAUAAAUAAAUAAAUAAAUAAAUAAAUAAUGGGACAGGAAGGGCGCUGAGAUAAAUCAAGCUAUGGGGGAAAAAAUGGCUGUAGAACAAUACGCACAGAAUAAUGCCAUUCUUGGGAGAAUGAACCCUUCACAAAAUAAAUCUAUAUUCUAUGGUGAAUCAAAUGCACAGACAGAGUUCUAGCAGGAAACACCAAACUGAUUACUAGCGGUGACUUUGUUGCUGGUGGGUAUGGGUGAGUCAUAGGCGGGCUUGAACUUGUUUCAAAGUUUUGACAUUUUUUUACAGGAAGAAUAUACAUUCAGAUAAAUGGAAUAGAAUGGGACGGAGGGAUACAAGGUAAAGAAGAGGAAUUGACUGGUGGAGCAAGCACUUGGUGGAGUCCAAAGAGGAUGCGCUCUAGUUCAAGGGAUUGGAGGAACGAGGCAGUUGAGAGGAAGCUGGAUUUCGGAAGAAGAGUCGGCAAAUAUGGCCUUCAUCCUCCUGGUGAAAUCUCUACAGAUAAGGCUCAGCGUGUAUUAUCUCCCAGGGAGUGUUUAUAUUUUAUCGGCGAAGACUUACAAGCUCAGAAAGCCUUCAAGGGGUGAAGAAUGAGCCUCUAAAAGAAAAUUUAAGGGCGCCCGGGUGGCUCAGUUGGCUGGGCGUCCGACUUCGGCUCAGAUCACGAUCUCACAGUUUGCAAGUUUGAGCCCCGCGUCGGGCUCUGUGCUGACAGCUCAGAGCCUGGAGCCUGCUUCGGAUUCUGGGUCUCCCUCUCUCUCUGCCCCACCCCUGCUCAUGCUCUGUCUGUCUGUCUCGCUCAGAAAUAAAGAUUAAAAAAAUUUAAAAGAAAGAAAUUUU
rnacentral:lncRNA from 1 species